UGGGGAAUAUUGCGCAAUGGCUGAGAGGCUGACGCAGCGACGCCGCGUGUGGGAGGAAGCCCUUCGGGGUGUAAACCACUGUCAGGGGGGAAGAACCCCGGUCGUGAGAAUAUCACGGUCGGCUGACGGUACCCCCAGAGGAAGCGCCGGCUAACUCCGUGCCAGCAGCCGCGGUAAGACGGAGGGCGCGAGCGUUGUCCGGAAUUACUGGGCGUAAAGCGUGCGCAGGCGGCCCGUUAAGUCCUUUGUGAAAUCCCGGGGCUCAACCCCGGAAUCGCAGUGGAUACUGGCGGGCUAGAGACCGGUAGAGGCUAGCGGAAUUCCCGGUGUAGCGGUGGAAUGCGUAGAUAUCGGGAAGAACACCAGUGGCGAAGGCGGCUAGCUGGGCCGGUUCUGACGCUCAUGUACGAAAGCGUGGGGAGCAAACAGGAUUAGAUACCCCCGUAGUCC
rnacentral:rRNA from 1 species